UACGUAGGGUGCGAGCGUUGUCCGGAAUUAUUGGGCGUAAAGAGCUUGUAGGCGGUUUGUCACGUCUGCUGUGAAAACUGGAGGCUCAACCUCCAGCCUGCAGUGGGUACGGGCAGACUAGAGUGCGGUAGGGGAGAUUGGAAUUCCUGGUGUAGCGGUGGAAUGCGCAGAUAUCAGGAGGAACACCGAUGGCGAAGGCGGGUCUCUGGGCCGUAACUGACGCUUAGGAGCGAAAGCGUGGGGAGUGAACAGG
rnacentral:rRNA from 1 species